UUGUUUUACCAUUAUUUUAAA
rnacentral:piRNA from 1 species